rnacentral:rRNA from 1 species
UCCGAGUGGUUUCUGCUAAAGAAACCUUUUGUCAGUCCUAGAAACACUAACGAAUAAGGGGUGGGCAAGUUCUGGUGUCAGCCGCCGCGGUAAAACCAGCACCUCAAGUGGUCAGGAUGAUUAUUGGGCCUAAAGCAUCCGUAGCUCGUUUUGUAAGUUUUCGGUUAAAUCCAUGCGCUUAACGUAUGGGCUGCCGGGAAUACUGCAUAACUAGGAAGUGGGAGAGGUAGACGGUACUCGGUAGGAAGGGGUAAAAUCCUUUGAUCUAUUGAUGACCACCUGUGGCGAAGGCGGUCUACCAGAACACGUUCGACGGUGAGGGAUGAAAGCUGGGGGAGCAAACCGGAUUAGAUACCCGGGUAGUCCCAGCUGUAAACUAUGCAAACUCAGUGAUGCAUUGGCUUGUGGCCAAUGCAGUGCUGCAGGGAAGCCGUUAAGUUUGCCGCCUGGGAAGUACGUACGCAAGUAUGAAACUUAAAGGAAUUGGCGGGGGAGCACCACAAGGGGUGAAGCCUGCGGUUCAAUUGGAGUCAACGCCAGAAAUCUUACCCGGAGAGACAGCAGAAUGAAGGUCAAGCUGAAGACUUUACCAGACAAGCUGAGAGGUGGUGCAUGGCCGUCGCCAGCUCGUGCCGUGAGAUGUCCUGUUAAGUCAGGUAACGAGCGAGAUCCCUGCCUCUAGUUGCUACCAUUAUUCUCAGGAGUAGUGGAGCUAAUUAGAGGGACCGCCGUCGCUGAGACGGAGGAAGGUGGGGGCUACGGCAGGUCAGUAUGCCCCGAAACCCUCGGGCCACACGCGGGCUGCAAUGGUAAGGACAAUGAGUUUCGAUUCCGAAAGGAGGAGGCAAUCUCUAAACCUUACCACAGUUAUGAUUGAGGGCUGAAACUCGCCCUCAUGAAUAUGGAAUCCCUAGUAACCGCGUGUCACUAUCGCGCGGUGAAUACGUCCCUG